AAUGAAGACUGUGACUCCACACAA
rnacentral:piRNA from 1 species